rnacentral:rRNA from 1 species
GGGCCCGCACAAGCGGUGGAGUAUGUGGUUUAAUUCGAUGCAACGCGAAGAACCUUACCAGGGUUUGACAUCCUGCGAAUCUCUUGGAAACAGGAGAGUGCCUUCGGGAACGCAGUGACAGGUGGUGCAUGGCUGUCGUCAGCUCGUGUCGUGAGAUGUUGGGUUAAGUCCCGCAACGAGCGCAACCCACGUCUUUAGUUGCCAGCAUUCAGUUGGGCACUCUAAAGAGACUGCCGGUGAUAAGCCGGAGGAAGGUGGGGACGACGUCAAGUCCUCAUGGCCCUUACGGGAUGGGCUACACACGUGCUACAAUGGCAGUGACAAUGGGUUAAUCCCAAAAACUGUCUCAGUUCGGAUUGAGGUCUGAAACUCGACCUCAUGAAGUCGGAAUCGCUAGUAAUCG